CGAAAAAAUUAAUCUUAAAAUAUUUUUUAAAACUGCUGCUGUGUCCGCAGCGUUUGCUCUACAGGUAUGAUUUUACCCUCAAAACGUAGCCAUCGCUGUCCUCUUUCAUCCAAUGUGUUUACUAUUGUGCUAGGUGUUAUGGUUCUUUCAUAAAUGUCACCAAAGCACAGCCUCCUCCCUCCAACUCCUCCAUAGACUCUAAUGUUAAAAUGGCUCAGAAGGUUCGUUUGAAAAUCAGAAGAGCAUGGUGUUUUUACACUGUCACCACGUCCAUAUAAUAAACUCCACAGGCAUGAAAAAUGAGAAUUAGGUAGACUGGACAUUGCUGCCGCUCACGGUGAAAGAAUUUCGUCAAUAGGACCUGUACUUUUCAUUUGGGAACGAUUUGUUUCGGCCUAACUUUUCUGUUCAUUUUAAGCAGCAAAAGUGAGGUGCAUGUCUGUGUGCGUGUGUAUGGAGCCAUUGGGUGCAGUCACUAUAGCAACCAGGCUCACACCUGCCUGCCUAACGAGCUCUGUCUCUCACUGUGCCAAGAUUCAUCUUAAACACUUCUCUUUCAACUGCUGCUGUGUCCACAGUGUUUGCUCUACAGCCAUCAUUUUACCCUCAAAACGAAGCCAUCGUUGUUCUCUUUACAACACAGUGUCUUUCAAAGCUCAGAGAUUUAAACUUUUUAAACUGUGUGGAUCCAAGUGGAGGGAUCACAUUCUAGUCAUUCAGUGAUUCAAAGAAUAUGAACUUUUAAUAUUCAUUCAGAUAUUUUCUGACUCUAAUUUUCUUUUCUCAUUACUUAGGUUUUUCUAAUUUACAUUUAAAACAUUUUCAGCUAUUUUCCAGCUUCUUCUGUGUGAACAUAAGCUUUCAAAAGUUCUGCACUUUUGUUUUCAGUUUAAAAACUCUGUAUUUUCCAGCUCAUUCAACAUUUUUGGCUUAAUAUUCAGCAAUUAAUUCAUUUCAGUGCAUACAUUCAGAUUCAA
ensembl:lncRNA